UACGUAGGGUCCGAGCGUUGUCCGGAUUUAUUGGGCGUAAAGAGCUCGUAGGCGGUUUCGCAAGUCGGAUGUGAAAACUCAGGGCUCAACCCGGAGACGCCAUCCGAUACUGCGAUGACUGGAGUCUGGUAGGGGAUCACGGAAUACCUGGUGUAGCGGUGAAAUGCGCAGAUAUCAGGUGGAACACCGAUGGCGAAGGCAGUGAUCUGGGCCAGUACUGACGCUGAGGAGCGAAAGCGUGGGGAGCAAACAGG
rnacentral:rRNA from 1 species